rnacentral:rRNA from 1 species
AACGAACGCUGGCGGCAGGCUUAACACAUUCAAGUCGAACGCAUCCUUCGGGGUGAGUGGCAGACGGGUGAGUAACGCGUGGGAACGUGCCCUUCAGUUCGGGAUAACCCCGGGAAACUUGGGCUAAUACCGGAUACGUGCGAGAGCAGAAAGAUUUAUCGCUGAAGGAUCGGCCCGCGUCUGAUUAGCUAGUUGGUGGGGUAAUGGCCCACCAAGGCGACGAUCAGUAGCUGGUCUGAGAGGAUGAUCAGGCACAUUGGGACUGAGACACGGCCCAAACUCCUACGGGAGGCAGCAGUGGGUAAGAUUGGACAAUGGGCGCAAGCCUGAUCCAGCCAUGCCGCGUGAGUGAUGGAGGCCUUAGGGUUGUAAAGCUCUUUCGUCCGGGACGAUAAUGACGGUACCGGAAGAAGAAGCCCCGGCUAACUUCGUGCCAGCAGCCGCGGUAA